AGUAAAGUCAGCUAAUCUUAAGCUCUUGGGCCCAUACCCCAAACAUGUUGGUUAAAGUCCUUCCUCUACUA
rnacentral:tRNA from 1 species